CCUCUCUCUUUUGACUAGGUUGAAGUUGUGUUUUCAUGUCUGAAUUAUUCUUCGAACCUCAUUUAGUUGAUUGUGGACGGGCGCUUAAACAAGCUCAAAAUGUUGAAACGUCGUGGCAAGGGGCCACCAAAGAAGGGCCAAGGAAAGCGUGCUAAAAAGAGUGGCAAAUAGAGCAUAACUAUGGUCUUCAACUACAUUACUGUCAUAUUUGGUAGAGAAGAUUGGAUAGUAUCAGACGCUUUUACUGAGGCUUUUCCAAUGAACUUUUGGAUUUUUAGGUAUAGUUUUUGAUUGUAAACUGUCAUGUUUGAUAGUGAAGGUUGG
rnacentral:lncRNA from 1 species